GACGAACGCUGGCGGUGUGCUUAACACAUGCAAGUCGAACGGAAAGGCCCUGCUUUUGUGGGGUGCUCGAGUGGCGAACGGGUGAGUAACACGUGAGUAACCUGCCCUUGACUUUGGGAUAACUUCAGGAAACUGGGGCUAAUACCGGAUAGGAGCUCCUGCUGCAUGGUGGGGGUUGGAAAGUUUCGGCGGUUGGGGAUGGACUCGCGGCUUAUCAGCUUGUUGGUGGGGUAGUGGCUUACCAAGGCUUUGACGGGUAGCCGGCCUGAGAGGGUGACCGGCCACAUUGGGACUGAGAUACGGCCCAGACUCCUACGGGAGGCAGCAGUGGGGAAUAUUGCACAAUGGGCGGAAGCCUGAUGCAGCAACGCCGCGUGCGGGAUGACGGCCUUCGGGUUGUAAACCGCUUUCGCCUGUGACGAAGCGUGAGUGACGGUAAUGGGUAAAGAAGCACCGGCUAACUACGUGCCAGCAGCCGCGGUGAUACGUAGGGUGCGAGCGUUGUCCGGAUUUAUUGGGCGUAAAGGGCUCGUAGGUGGUUGAUCGCGUCGGAAGUGUAAUCUUGGGGCUUAACCCUGAGCGUGCUUUCGAUACGGGUUGACUUGAGGAAGGUAGGGGAGAAUGGAAUUCCUGGUGGAGCGGUGGAAUGCGCAGAUAUCAGGAGGAACACCAGUGGCGAAGGCGGUUCUCUGGGCCUUUCCUGACGCUGAGGAGCGAAAGCGUGGGGAGCGAACAGGCUUAGAUACCCUGGUAGUCCACGCUGUAAACGGUGGGUACUAGGUGUGGGGUCCAUUCCACGGGUUCCGUGCCGUAGCUAACGCUUUAAGUACCCCGCCUGGGGAGUACGGCCGCAAGGCUAAAACUCAAAGGAAUUGACGGGGCCCCGCACAAGCGGCGGAGCAUGCGGAUUAAUUCGAUGCAACGCGUAGAACCUUACCUGGGUUUGACAUGGAUCGGGAGUGCUCAGAGAUGGGUGUGCCUCUUUUAGGGUCGGUUCACAGGUGGUGCAUGGCUGUCGUCAGCUCGUGUCGUGAGAUGUUGGGUUAAGUCCCGCAACGAGCGCAACCCUUGUUCACUGUUGCCAGCACGUUAUGGUGGGGACUCAGUGGAGACCGCCGGGGUCAACUCGGAGGAAGGUGGGGAUGACGUCAAGUCAUCAUGCCCCUUAUGUCCAGGGCUUCACGCAUGCUACAAUGGUCGGUACAACGCGCAGCGACACUGUGAGGUGGAGCGAAUCGCUGAAAGCCGGCCUUAGUUCGGAUUGGGGUCUGCAACUCGACCCCAUGAAGUCGGAGUCGCUAGUAAUCGCAGAUCAGCAACGCUGCGGUGAAUACGUUCCCGGGCCU
rnacentral:rRNA from 1 species